rnacentral:rRNA from 1 species
GAUGAACGCUAGCGGCAGGCCUAACACAUGCAAGUCGAGGGGCAGCACAGAAACAGCAAUGUUUUGGUGGCGACCGGCGGACGGGUGCGUGACGCGUAUGCAACCUACCUUUAACAGGGGGAUAACGGAGAGAAAUUUCCACUAAUACCCCAUAACAUCGAUCAAGGCAUCUUGAUUGGUUGAAAACUCCGGUGGUUAAAGAUGGGCAUGCGUUGUAUUAGGUAGUUGGUGAGGUAAUGGCUCACCAAGCCUACGAUACAUAGGGGGACUGAGAGGUUAGCCCCCCACACUGGUACUGAGACACGGACCAGACUCCUACGGGAGGCAGCAGUGAGGAAUAUUGGUCAAUGGGGGCAACCCUGAACCAGCCAUGCCGCGUGCAGGAAGACGGCUCUAUGAGUUGUAAACUGCUUUUACACAGGGAUAAAGCACAGUAUGUAUACUGUGUUGAAGGUACUGUAAGAAUAAGGAUCGGCUAACUCCGUGCCAGCAGCCGCAGUAA